rnacentral:lncRNA from 1 species
CUGCAGCCCUCCAUGCCUGAGCCUCCCCCCGCCUCCGUGGGCUCCUGUGCAGCCUGAGCUUCCCUGACGAGCGCCGCCCCCUGCUCCACGGAGCCCAGUCCCAUUGACCACCCAAGGGCUGAGGAGUGUGGGCUCACGGUGCGGGACUGGCAGGCAGCUCCACCUGCAGCCCCAGUGCACGAUCCACUGGGUGAAGCCAGCUGGGCUCCUGAGUCUAGUGGGAACUUGGAGAACCUUUAUGUCUAGCUAGGGGAUUGUAAAUACACCAAUCGGCACUCUGUAUCUAGCUCAAGGUUUGUAAACACACCAAUCAGCACCCUGUGUCUAGCUCAGGGUUUGUGAAUGCACCAAUCAACACUCUGUAUCUAGCUACUCUGGUGGGGACUUGGAGAACCUUUGUGUCAACACUCUGUAUCUAACUAUUCUGGUGGGGACGUGGAGAACUUUUGUGUCUAGCUGAGGAAUUGUAAACGCACCAAUCAGUGCCCUGUCAAAACAGACCCC